rnacentral:tRNA from 1 species
AGUGGUGAUCAUAGUCCGUCCUCGACUCGACAUCCACUACAGCCCUUUCUUGCAUUGAUUGGAUUGCACCACCCAUUGGGGGAAAAACUACGUUCCCAGCUUAGAGGUAACACUUUCUUGAAAAUCUGAAUGUACAAAGUCACCGUACAGGUUACUGUCUGAAUAAAUUAGCAGAUGAAUCUUCAGUGCCGUCGCUGUCAACGAAAAUUCGUGUUUAUAAAUAAAUCUGAAUCACGAAGUGUGUAACUGAGGAACCUUAAGUAUUUAACAAACGCUGGUGCUCUAGGAUUUCUGAGAUUCAUAGUGAUUAGUCUCUCUGAGCGUUAUCCUGCGGUAAUUACUGGUUAUUAAAUUUUAGAUUUCCAAACCUUUCACAUGAUUUCGGUCGGAAGAGGAGAGUUAAGGCUAUAUCGAGGCAAUACGCACAGC